GACGAACGCUGGCGGCGUGCUUAACACAUGCCAGUCGAACGGAAAGGCCCUGCUUGCAGGGUACUCGAGUGGCGAACGGGUGAGUAACACGUGGGUGAUCUGCCCCGCACUUCGGGAUAAGCCUGGGAAACUGGGUCUAAUACCGGAUAGGAGCCAUUUUUAGUGUGAUGGUUGGAAAGUUUUUUCGGUGUAGGAUGAGCUCGCGGCCUAUCAGCUUGUUGGUGGGGUAAUGGCCUACCAAGGCGGCGACGGGUAGCCGGCCUGAGAGGGUGGACGGCCACAUUGGGACUGAGAUACGGCCCAGACUCCUACGGGAGGCAGCAGUGGGGAAUAUUGCACAAUGGGCGCAAGCCUGAUGCAGCGACGCCGCGUGGGGGAUGACGGCCUUCGGGUUGUAAACUCCUUUCGCUAGGGACGAAGCUUUUUGUGACGGUACCUAGAUAAGAAGCACCGGCUAACUACGUG
rnacentral:rRNA from 1 species